CCAGUAAAUAUGAUACAGCUAUUCCAGUGUCCAAAACUAUCCCAAAUCUGAAACACUUCUGGUCCCACCCAAGCAUUUCAGAUAAGGAAUACUCAACUCAUAAUUGGUGAUUACCUGCACAGUUAGUAGAUGGACUGAGUACUAUCCAACUAGACAUGCUGAUGCCACAUGGUAGUAAUGAAAAAAAAAAUUGAGAUUAUUCUUCAUUUUGGCAUUACUUAAUGUAUUAAAUCAGACCAAGGAACUCACUUAACAACAGAAGUAAAUCACAUGUUCACAAAAACUCUAGGAUAGUCAUUAAAAUUCUAUACUCUUUACCAUCCUCAGUCCUCAGAGAGGUGGAAUGUGAUAAUUUAGACAGCAAAAGAACUAUAAAAUAUGUCAGUACAAUAGACCUAAGUGGCCAGAAGCAUCACCCCUGACCCCAAUAAAAUCUGGAAAACCCCAAACAAGAGAGAUGGAUUAACUGCUUUUUGAAUAAUUUUUGAUAGCUUUAUGCCUAUUAGCAUCUCCAAACUUUUUGUUCCUGAAGUGAGUGAGCAUUAUGGGGACCUGAGUGAAAGGUUCAGUAUUAUGACUAGAUAUCUAAAAGAACUAUCUCUUGUACUUGGAGCUUACCAUUAACAGGCAAAAAAGUCAUGGCCAUUGUCUACCAACAAGCUUUCUAUCCCUUUUGACCAAGCUAUCAAGUAUACAUCAAAAUUUUGACAAGAAAGCAUACACUGUCAUCUUUCUGGGAAGUACCUUGUGAAGCAUUGCUGAACACCUACAUGGCCAUCAAAAUAAAAAGAAAUAUUUCCUGGAUUCAUGCAAGUCAUGCCAAGCUAGACCCAGAUCAUAAUUUCCAGAAAAAUUGAAAAGCUAUUCUUACAGCUGACUUCAAACCAAGGAUUUUCAGGGCCAAUUCACAGGGUCCCAAAGCAGAUGACAACAUAAAGUGGACUAUUUUUUCCAAUAUCUUGGAUCAAGAACUACCUUUCCACCUAUUUUCCCUUGAUAUCUUUCUCUUCUCUGACCAAAGGAAAAAAAAGUAAAUAAAAACCUUAAAAACCUCUUUGAGCUUUAAACAGAAACCUUCCCCUUUAUUUAUUGAUGGACUGUCUAGAGAUUGCUACUUUUUUCUUCUUCUGUUUCUUCACAAUGAGAUAUUUUCUAAACUGUGUCUUGCUUCAACUAACCCUUAUGGCUUUUUUUGACAAUUCUAGCAUAAAUCCAGCACCUACUCGCGCCAGUCUUCUAAACACUGGCAACUUUCAUCAAUCCGAAUUUUGGUUAUGUCAACAUAUCGGUAUACAGAAGAAGCUAACUAGUUUUUGUUUCUGCCAAUGCAAACACCUGGUGGACACAGACUGGACUAUGGAUGUACAAAAGGGUAUGGUAUCUACAAACAGGAAGACAAAAAUCAUGCCACCUCUCUUUCUGGUAAACUGAUUUGGCGCUUGGAAAAUUCCAUGGAAGCUCAAGUUCUAUUCUUUGUUCAGGUGAUGUUAUUGAAUGGACAAAUUUCCCUUUUCAUUGGAAACAGAAAUGGUACUGGACCCUUUCUAGAUCUCUUGCCUCACAGCUUCUAACCCAAAUCUUAUUUCUACAGCAACCAACACAGCUUCUCGUUUGUAAAACUUCUCAAGAUGUUUCAAAAUGGAAGAAAUACCAAAACCCACAAAGAAUCCUUGAGUUGGUAUGGUUAUUUUUAGUUGAGGACAUUUGAGAUUCCACAGAUGCAGAAAAGAAUCUUCUCAGAGCUUCCUUCUUCUGAUUAAAAGCAGCCACUUCUGGGAAAUAAGGCUGGCAUAAAUCCUCUCUUGAGAGUGGCUUUACUCCCAGAAACAAGACCAAGGGUAAAUCUACCAUAAAUCCCCUCUCCAGGGGAGUUUGAUGGCCAUAAAGAAGAUGAAAAGAGUUCUCACACCUGCAUAAACAAAUGUUAUCACAAACUUUCUUAUCUCUUGUUUGUUCUCCCAAAAAACUAUUUGUCUUUCCUAAAGAAAUCCAUUUGUUUUCCUUAUAGAAGUCUUUUCUCCCGGCUUGCUUCUCCUAUUAAGUUAGAUAUAUAAACUUCUAAUUUAACUUUUAGGAAACUACUUCUUUUGUAAGCUCUUGUAUGCAAAUAAACUGUUUUAUUCUCUUGUUAAUGUGUAUUUUCACAGCAUAUCCUCCACCCAGAUCCUGAAUUUGAGAGGGUAGAGGAAAAGUUUUCCUCUCCAACACUUUCGUUCUCUGUCAAUGGCUUCACUGGAUUGCUAGUCUUCCUAUUAAAAGCGGCAAUUUAUUCUUCCAAAG
rnacentral:lncRNA from 1 species